AUCACUUUUAUAGAAAUAUAAUUUAGACCUCCUUCUAUUAUGCAAUAAUAUCUUAAAUGUAUUGAAAAUGAAUGUCAAUAUGUUGGCCUGCCACAAUAUUUGGGAUCCCCCAUAUAAGACAAUGUAGCCAUGAUAUCAAAAUAGACUGUGAUAGGUUCAGCUACAUGUUUGCAUAAAUGUACAACGAAUUACUAGAAGUUCUAGAACUAUGUCGAAUAAUUACC
rnacentral:lncRNA from 1 species